AGACGGAGGGUCCUAGCGUUGUUCGGAAUAACUGGGCGUAAAGGGUACGUAGGCGGUUUGUCAGUUAGAUGUGAAAGCCCAGGGCUCAACCUUGGAACUGCAUUUAAUACUGCCAGACUUGAGAUCGGAAGAGGAAAGCGGAAUUCCUAGUGUAGAGGUGAAAUUCGUAGAUAUUAGGAGGAACAUCAGAGGCGAAGGCGGCUUUCUGGUCCGAUACUGACGCUGAGGUACGAAAGCGUGGGGAGCAAACAGGAUUAGAAACCCUAGUAGUCC
rnacentral:rRNA from 1 species